rnacentral:rRNA from 1 species
AACGAACGCUGGCGGCAGGCCUAACACAUGCAAGUCGAACGGGUGUAGCAAUACAUCAGUGGCGCACGGGUGAGUAACGCGUGGGAACGUGCCCUUCACUACGGGACAACGUCGGGAAACUGACGCUAAUACCGUAUAAUGUCUCCGGACCAAAGAUUUAUCGGUGAAGGAUCGGCCCGCGUCUGAUUAGCUAGUUGGUGAGGUAAAAGCUCACCAAGGCGACGAUCAGUAGCUGGUUUGAGAGAAUGAUCAGCCACACUGGGACUGAGACACGGCCCAGACUCCUACGGGAGGCAGCAGUGAGGAAUCUUGGACAAUGGGCGCAAGCCUGAUCCAGCCAUGCCGCGUGAGUGAUGAAGGCCUUAGGGUUGUAAAGCUCUUUUGCCGGGGAUGAUAAUGACCGUACCCGGAGAAUAAGCCACGGCUAAAUUCGUGCCAGCAGCCGCAGUAA